GCUGAGUUGGAACGCAAAAUC
rnacentral:miRNA from 1 species